AGAGUUUGAUMUGGCUCAGGACGAACGCUGGCGGCAUGCCUAACACAUGCAAGUCGAACGGGACUAAGACCGACACCGGAGAUUCAGUUGGCCGGCGGGGACACGGGCCGGGUGAAUGGCCGGUGUUGGGCUUAGUUCAGUGGCGGACGGGUGAGUAACGCGUGAGGAACCUGCCUUUCAGAGCGGGAUAGCGUCUGGAAACGGGCGGUAAUACCGCAUGACAUUCCGGAGCCGCAUGGUUCUGGAAUCAAAGGAGCAAUCCGCUGGAAGAUGGACUCACGUCCGAUUAGCCGGUUGGCGGGGUAAUGGCCCACCAAAGCAACGAUCGGUAGCCGGACUGAGAGGUUGAACGGCCACAUUGGGACUGAGACACGGCCCAGACUCCUACGGGAGGCAGCAGUGGGGGAUAUUGCACAAUGGAGGAAACUUUGAUGCCCCCACGCCGCGUGAGGGAAGACGGUCUUCAAAUUGGGGACCUAUGUCCUCGGUGACGAUAAUGACGGUAGCCGAGGAGGAAGCUCCGGCUAACUACGUGCCAGCAGCCGCGGUAAUACGUAGGGAGCGAGCGCUGUCCGGAUUUACUGGGUGUAAAGGGUGCGUAGGCGGCUUUUUAAGUCAGGUGUGAAAACCGUGGGCUUAACUCACGGAUUGCAUUUGAAACUGAGGGGCUUGAGUGGAGCAGAGGCAGGCGGAAUUCCCGGUGUAGCGGUGAAAUGCGUAGAGAUCGGGAGGAACACCAGUGGCGAAGGCGGCCUGCUGGGCUUUAACUGACGCUGAG
rnacentral:rRNA from 1 species